rnacentral:rRNA from 1 species
UACGUAGGGUGCGAGCGUUAUUCGGAAUUACUGGGCGUAAAGCGUGCGCAGGCGGUUUUGUAAGCCAGAUGUGAAAUCCCCGGGCUUAACCUGGGAAUGGCAUUUGGGACUGCAAGGCUCGAGUGCGGCAGAGGAGACUGGAAUUCCUGGUGUAGCAGUGAAAUGCGUAGAUAUCAGGAGGAACACCGAUGGCGAAGGCAGGUCUCUGGGCCACUACUGACGCUGAGAAGCGAAAGCAUGGGGAGCGAACAGG